AACGAACGCUGGCGGCAUGCCUAACACAUGCAAGUCGAACGAGACCUUCGGGUCUAGUGGCGCACGGGUGCGUAACGCGUGAGAACCUGCCCUUAUGUUCGGAAUAACUCCCCGAAAGGGGUGCUAAUACCGGAUCAUGUCUUCGGACCAAAGAUUUAUCGCCUUUGGAUGGGCCCGCGUUGGAUUAGCUAGUUGGUAGGGUAAAAGCCUACCAAGGCGACGAUCCAUAGCUGGUCUGAGAGGAUGAUCAGCCACACUGGGACUGAGACACGGCCCAGACUCCUACGGGAGGCAGCAGUGGGGAAUAUUGGACAAUGGGCGAAAGCCUGAUCCAGCAAUGCCGCGUGAGUGAUGAAGGCCUUAGGGUUGUAAAGCGCUUUUACCCGGGAUGAUAAUGACAGUACCGGGAGAAUAAGCUCCGGCUAACUCCGUG
rnacentral:rRNA from 1 species